GAUGAACGCUGGCGGCGUGCUUAACACAUGCAAGUCGAACGGAAAGGCUCCUGCUUGCAGGGGCACUCGAGUGGCGAACGGGUGAGUAACACGUGGGUGAUCUGCCCUUCACUUCGGGAUAAGCCUGGGAAACUGGGUCUAAUACCGGAUAGGACCAUCGUUUAGUGUCGGUGGUGGAAAGUUUUUUCGGUGUGGGAUGAGCUCGCGGCCUAUCAGCUUGUUGGUGGGGUAAUGGCCUACCAAGGCGUCGACGGGUAGCCGGCCUGAGAGGGUGUACGGCCACAUUGGGACUGAGAUACGGCCCAGACUCCUACGGGAGGCAGCAGUGGGGAAUAUUGCACAAUGGGCGCAAGCCUGAUGCAGCGACGCCGCGUGGGGGAUGACGGCCUUCGGGUUGUAAACUCCUUUCGCCAGGGACGAAGCGAAAGUGACGGUACCUGGAUAAGAAGCACCGGCUAACUACGUG
rnacentral:rRNA from 1 species